GACGAACGCUGGCGGCGUGCUUAACACAUGCAAGUCGAACGGAAAGGCCCUGCGUUUGUGGGGUGCUCGAGUGGCGAACGGGUGAGUAACACGUGAGUAACCUGCCCUUGACUUUGGGAUAACUUCAGGAAACUGGGGCUAAUACCGGAUAGGAGCUCCUGCUGCAUGGUGGGGGUUGGAAAGUUUCGGCGGUUGGGGAUGGACUCGCGGCUUAUCGGCUUGUUGGUGGGGUAGUGGCUUACCAAGGCUUUGACGGGUAGCCGGCCUGAGAGGGUGACCGGCCACAUUGGGACUGAGAUACGGCCCAGACUCCUACGGGAGGCAGCAGUGGGGAAUAUUGCACAAUGGGCGGAAGCCUGAUGCAGCAACGCCGCGUGCGGGAUGACGGCCUUCGGGUUGUAAACCGCUUUCGCCUGUGACGAAGCGUGAGUGACGGUAAUGGGUAAAGAAGCACCGGCUAACUACGUG
rnacentral:rRNA from 1 species